rnacentral:tRNA from 1 species
GCCCGGGUGGCGAAAUUGGUAGACGCUGGAGACUUAAAAUCUUCUGUCCAGUCAUGGACGUGCCGGUUCAAGUCCGGCCCCGGGCA